UGCUCACCCUGGUCGCCGUGGCCGGGCUGGGCUGGCUGGUGGCCGGCUACAUCGUGCGGGCCCUCGGGCUGCCCCGGUUCGACUAUCCGAUGGUGGGCGA
rnacentral:tRNA from 1 species